UGGGGAAUAUUGCACAAUGGGCNAAAGCCUGAUGCAGCAACGCCGCGUGAGUGAUGAAGGCCUUCGGGUUGUAAAGCUCUGUCUUUUGGGACGAUAAUGACGGUACCAAAGGAGGAAGCCACGGCUAACUACGUGCCAGCAGCCGCGGUAAUACGUAGGUGGCAAGCGUUGUCCGGAUUUACGGGCGUAAAGGAUGCGUAGGCGGAUUUUUAAGUGAGAUGUGAAAACCCUAGNUUAACUUGGGGACUGCAUUUCAUACUGGAAAUCUAGAGUGCGGGAGAGGAGAAUGGAAUUCCUAGUGUAGCGGUGAAAUGCGUAGAGAUUAGGAAGAACACCAGUGGCGAAGGCGAUUCUCUGGACCGUAACUGACGCUGAGGCAUGAAAGCGUGGGUAGCAAACAGGAUUAGAUACCCUGGUAGUCCACGCCGUAAACGAUGAGUACUAGGUGUAGGAGGUAUCGACCCCCUUCUGUGCCGCAGUUAACACAAUAAGUACUCCCGCCUGGGAAGUACGAUCGCAA
rnacentral:rRNA from 1 species